rnacentral:rRNA from 1 species
CCUACGGGGGGCUGCAGUGGGGAAUAUUGGACAAUGGGGGAAACCCUGAUCCAGCGACGCCGCGUGGGUGAAGAAGGCCUGCGGGUUGUAAAGCCCUUUCGGUGGGGAAGAAAAGCCUCGACCUAACACGUCGGGGUAUUGACGUAACCCACAAAAGAAGCACCGGCUAACUCUGUGCCAGCAGCCGCGGUAAUACAGAGGGUGCGAGCGUUAAUCGGAAUUACUGGGCGUAAAGCGCGCGUAGGCGGCUAUACAAGUCGAGUGUGAAAUCCCCGGGCUCAACCUGGGAACUGCAUUCGAGACUGUAUGGCUUGAGUAUGGGAGAGGGAGGCGGAAUUUCAGGUGUAGCGGUGAAAUGCGUAGAUAUCUGAAGGAACAUCAGUGGCGAAAGCGGCCUCCUGGACCAAUACUGACGCUCAUGUGCGAAAGCGUGGGGAGCAAACAGGAUUAGAUACCCGUGUAGUC